rnacentral:rRNA from 1 species
AGAUUGAACGCUGGCGGCAUGCCUAACACAUGCAAGUCGAGCGGCAGCGCGGGGGCGACCCUGGCGGCGAGCGGCGGACGGGUGAGUAAGGCAUCGGAAUCUGCCCUGAUGUGGGGGAUAACGUAGGGAAACUUACGCUAAUACCGCAUAUGCCCUACGGGUAAAGCGGGGGAGUCGUAAGACCUCGCGCUGGUGGAUGAGCCUACGUCCGAUUAGUUAGUUGGUGGGGUAAAGGCCUACCAAGGCUACGAUCGGUAGCUGGUCUGAGAGGACGACCAGCCACACUGGGACUGAGACACGGCCCAGACUCCUACGGGAGGCAGC